rnacentral:misc_RNA from 1 species
UCCGUUGGUGAACCAGCGGAAGGAUCAUUACAGAGAUCAUGCCCUCAAGGGUAGACCUCCCACCCUGUGUUAUUUACGAUUGUUGCUUUGGCAGGUCGCCUUCGGGCACUCGGCUCUGGCUGAGUUGCACCUGCCAGAGGACCCCCAACUCUGUGUUUUUAGUGUUGUCUGAGUAAUAUUUUAAUACGUUAAAACUUUCAACAACGGAUCUCUUGGUUCUGGCAUCGAUGAAGAACGCAGCGAAAUGCGAUAAGUAAUGUGAAUUGCAGAAUUCAGUGAAUCAUCGAAUCUUUGAACGCACAUUGCGCCCCUUGGUAUUCCGGGGGGCAUGCCUGUUCGAGCGUCAUUUCAACCCUCAAGCUAAGCUUGGUCUUGGGCACUGCCGGUUGCGGCUUGCCUUAAAAUUAGUGGCGGUGCCAUUCGAGCUCUACGCGUAGUAAUUUUUAACCCUCGCGAUUGAGUCUUGGUGGAUGCUUGCCAGUAACCCUUAAUUUUUUUUAUGGUUGACCUCGGAUCAGGUAGGGAUACCCGCUGAACUU